GGCUUUGUGGCGCAAUGGAUAGCGCAUUGGACUUCUAAUUCAAAGGUUUGUGGGUUCGAGUCCCACCAGAGUCG